AUUUCAUUGGUUAUAUAUUUCCAUUAAAUUAACUGCUGUGACUUCAGGAAUACAGUGCUUGAGUGUGUGUCUGUCUACUCAAAAGAAAAAAAAGAUGCUGUAAAUUAGACAAUUGGACAUUAUGGUAUCUUUAUGUAAUUCUUUUCUAAGGCAAUAUUGAAAUACAGAAAAGAAAGAGGAGCUUGCUUUGUUUUGACAUCUGUUCAACAGCAGAUUUCUUCUUGUUGUUUUAUGUCCAGUAGAAAAUGGGUUGAAGUUCAACAAGAAUGAGUGCCGGGUCCUACACUUCAGUCACAAGAACUCCAGGCAGUGCUACAGGCUUGGAGCAGAAUGGAUGGAAAGCUGAACUGAGGAAAAGUAUCUGGGAGUAUUGGACUGAACAAACUUGCCUGAAUGUGAGACAGCAGUGUGGCCAAGAAAAUCAACGGCAUCUUGGCUUGCAUCAGAAAUAGUGUAGCCAGCAGGAGCAGCGAGGUGAUUGCCCCUCUGUACUCAGCUUUGAGACUUCUCGAUCGUCCUUGCAUUCCACAGCGAUCUAUGGGACAAAAGGAGUGUUGGGAAUUACUUGUGAGUUGAGUGUUAUGUGUGAAAAUACAACCUGUUGACGAACGAUCAUCUGAUGCAGCAUUCCUGGAGAGUUAUCUCGGGGCUGCCUGUAAAGUAUACCUUGUUUAACAGUAACAAAAUUUUACUGAGACUUCUCGAUCGUCCUUGCAUUCCACAGCAAUCUAUGAGAUAAAAGGAGUGUUGGGAGGAAGUAAACGACCACCCCAAGGAACAAUGGACCGACUGUAGACCAUCACGGCGCUGGAAGGCUAUAUGACAUUAAGCUCACCAAAUAAGGCUGCGUGUUUUGGGCAGUCAUUAGGGGUAAUGAAUUUGGGAAUGUAAUGAAUAUGUAAUACAUGUGAAAAUACAACCUGUUCACAGACGGUCA
ensembl:lncRNA